UACGUAGGGGGCAAGCGUUGUCCGGAAUCAUUGGGCGUAAAGAGCGUGUAGGCGGCCUGGUAAGUCCGCUGUGAAAGUCCAGGGCUCAACCCUGGAAUGCCGGUGGAAACUGUCAGGCUCGAGUCCGGAAGAGGCGAGUGGAAUUCCUGGUGUAGCGGUGAAAUGCGCAGAUAUCAGGAGGAACACCGAUGGCGAAGGCAGCUCGCUGGGACGGUACUGACGCUGGAGGCGCGAAAGCGUGGGGAGCAAACAGG
rnacentral:rRNA from 1 species